rnacentral:rRNA from 1 species
AGAUUGAUGCCUAUCAACUGUUUAAAAGAUGGUUCUGCUAUCACUCUUGGGAUGGACCUGCGGUGCAUUAGCUAGUUGUAGGUAUGGGCCUACCAAGGCGAUGAUGCAUAGCCCGAGUUGAGAGACUGAUCGGGCCACAUUGGGGACUGAGACACGGGCCCAAAACUCCUACGGGGAGGCAGCAGUAGGGAAUCUUCCACAAUGGACGCAAGUCUGAUGGAGCAACGCCGCGUGAGUGAAGAAGGGUUUCGGCUCGUAAAGCUCUGUUGUUGGUGAAGAAGGACAGGGGUAGUAACUGACCUUUGUUUGACGGUAAUCAAUUAGAAGUCACGGCUAACUACGUGCCAGCAGCCGCGGUAAU